UCCGGCUUAUCACCGGCAGUUUCCUCAGAGUUCUCGCCAUUACGCGUUAGCAACAGAGGACGAGGGUUGCGCUCGUUGCGGGACUUAACCCAACAUCUCACGACACGAGCUGACGACAGCCAUGCAGCACCUGUGCACCUCCCACCCGAAGUGAAGGAUUCCUUUUCGGGAAUCCAUAGAGGGCAUGUCAAAUCCUGGUAAGGUUCUUCGCGUUGCCUCGAAUUAAACCACAUGUUCCACCGCUUGUGCGGGUCCCCGUCAAUUUCUUUGAGUUUUAAUCUUGCGACCGUACUCCCCAGGCGGGAUGCUUAACGCGUUAGCUGCGCCACUGAAGGGUAACCCCCCAACGGCUAGCAUCCAUCGUUUACAGUACGGACUAC
rnacentral:misc_RNA from 1 species